GCAAAUUUCUCAGUUUUCUCGAAUUUCUCAAGGUGAUCUCCCUCCCCCUCUCCUCUUGUGGCAUAAUGAAUCUCAACGAUACAUUUACAAUUCAUUGAUUCUCGGAAUCGUAUUAUGUUGAAUUCCUCCGUUUCUUUUUUCCUUUUUCUCAAUUUUCUGCUAUGUUGUAGAUAGGGGAUUCAAUGAUUGCUUGAUUCUGGAGGGAAAUUAGGGUUGAUAAGAUAGUGAGGAAAGGGGAAAAAAAAGAUGGGUUAUUUCAAGCAGGCGCUAAGAAGCAUCGAUGCGUUCCCGAGAGCUGAAGACCAUCUGCUGCAAAAGACAAAAUCCAGGCCUUUGGUAUGAUCUUCCAUCUUUUCUCCCCCAAAAUUUAAAACUUUCGCUUUCAAGUCGGUGCCGCCUUAACCACCAUUCUCUAAUCCAACCAUGGGACGGGUCAUA
rnacentral:lncRNA from 1 species